UUCUUAUCUAGAAUCUACCCGCAUAACGUUCUUGUUCCAUCGGCUUCUAGAAUCUAUAUCCGGUCAAGACAUCUACUCUCCCUCACUUCUCCUUCUCUGCUUAUAGCCUGGAUCUGCUCCGCAAUUCAGAUUAUUUCUGAGUUGCGGUAAGUUGUUUUUCUUCUUUUUCCUGAUCUUCUUCAAUUUGUCCAAUUCAAUGGUGGCUAUUUUUAUUCUUUCUUCAAUUUUUAGGAGAAGCCAGCUUUUUCAAUUUUUAAUGACUUGAAGCAAGGUUUCUACUCAUUAAAUAACCAAGCGCUCUUUUGCCAGAACAAGUAGAUACAGAAGAUGAGGCACCGCUUUCUAAGUGGAUUCUACCUAAGAAGUCAAGACUGCCGCUAGGUGAAGAUACACUUGACAAAUAUAUUUGCUGGUGGUGUGGAGAAAUCAUCUUCCAGGUGAUGACUGAUUGCUGGACAUUUUAAGCCUUUGUUCAUUCACGAUUGCAUAUCUGAACAUACUCAUAAAUGCCAUCAGCCAUGAGAAGACUGAUUUGUAACAAUCAAAAUGCUUAAUACAAAAGAUAGCACCAAGUGCCUACAUAUCUCCAUAGGACACCGUGAUUUUCACUUGCUUACUUUUUUUAAAAAAAAAAAAUAGCCUUUCACCUCAUAUAAAUACCCUUAGGUGAUACCUGGAAUAGAUGAAGGACCAAGACCCAUAGGUCCACCAGAAACUGCUGGAUGAGCGACAUUGGACAUCCACCCAGCAAGAGGAGCUGCCACGGGUGCUAGCCCAGGUUGGAAAGGCUGAAAAAAGUUUGUAACAGAAUAAGCAGAACUCUUAGAGGUUAAACAUAAGUAGGAAUUAAGCUGUACAAAAAACCAAACCCAUGUGCACCAAGAGGAGGGAAGCUGCCUGGUUUUGGCACUGGUGCUCGAGCACCAUUUGAUUGUCCACAAGAAUGAUCCACGAACAGAGUUUUAAUAUCUGGAUUUGGCCUAGGAUUUUUACAUAGUUGGUGCUGCCAAUUUAAGCUGCAGCAUGCAUUCAUUGUCAGUUCCCAAAAUCACUCUGUCGAUCAUAAAUUAUCAAGCUCUAAAAAAUGAGCUGAAGAAAAGCUGCUGGUUGAAUACAGUUGUUAGUCAUGGUGAAGCUGUUAGAAGCUCAUCCCCUGAGACGACUAUUUCUCAUAUUCUUGUGCACCAGGUAAGUUUCACCACCUAAUCGAGUCUUACGCAUUUAUUUUGUCCGGUGGUGUCCGGCUCACAUUGAAACCACAAUGCAUAUUCAUUUGACGUCAUUGCUUCGAUUUGAGUUAUGAAAAGCAUGUAAGAAAGAUUAGAAAGUAGCACAUGGUCCUAUCACCUAUGUUUCAAACAUUUAGAUCAAUAUGCUUGAGCAAACAGUGAAACUCCCUGCGAAGAGAAUUUUUGCGCUUUAGAAAUUUUAUGUGAGACUACAAAAUAAUGAUAUGCUUAUUUUUGAAAUAAAAAUGUUAUUUGAAUGAAUUUGAAGUUGGAAAUAAAUGUAUUUUGAGGUUUAAUGAAUUAUCAUUUCCUAGAGUAUUCCUAUAAUUAUUUACUGAUUUGUGAAGAUCCUUGGUUCUUCUCUGUUAUUAAUUUUUAGUUACAUUUUGAAUUUAUGCUUUACUGAAGGCAGAACCUUUAAAUUUGAAAUUCUUAAAUUGGUGGAAUAACAUCAAACAAGUACAAAUUUCCCAUUCAUAAUCCUAGAUCUGUCUCUUAAUCUAUAUUGUGAGCCUUUUUUAACAUAGUUGUAUAAUCAGUUUUAUCUACUACUUUUGACCUACACUACAUUUCUCCCAACAUUUUUCCCAUUAUAAUUCCAUACAAAAGCUUGGUAAUAUUGUAUACCAAAUCCAGCUUCUCCCUAUUUAGUACCAAAGUUAUUUUAAUGAUAAACUAGACAAGAUAUCUUGCUUGGCUUUUUCAUGUAAUUGACAGGUUCUGAUAUGUUUGUCGAAGAGUUUAAAGAGGAAGCUUAUGAUAAGGUGGUAAACUUCAAUGGUAUUGUCUUAGUUGAGUUCGUCGGGCCUCGGUGUGGGCGUUGACAAGCUCGGACACCCACAUAGGAAAUGACAACUAAAAUCUUGAAAUGUCUUGCUACUAUAGUAGCUCAAUAGUCCCUUGGCCAGUAGCUGUUUGCAUGGUGUGGAUAUUCUGAAAGCUGAGUAGUGGAGAUAUGUGAUUUUUCAGCCUCUAUGCAAGUGAGAGUUGUCUUUUGAUGGAAUUCUUCCACCAGGCACUAUCAACGACACUGAUAAGUUCGUAUGUAGGAGUUGGACAAGAUUCCCAGUCUAUGAAACUUAUUUUCGUCGGGAAUCGCCCUUUUAUGCUAGCUCUGUUGGGAGGUAAAUAUGGCGAUUCAGUUGAAGCAUGGGACUGUUUGAAUGAGAACGCAUGAAUAAGUGUGAAGAUAAUACAAAUAUCUGCGAUUUUCCUUUCUUAUGUUAAACCAUAUCAAAAUUAUUAAUUAAUUUGAAGGAAUGAAAAUAUAGAGCCUA